CAGGCGUAGCAAUACGUGCUGACGAGCGGCGAACGGGUGCGUAAUACAUGGGAAUCUGCCUUUUAGUGGGGAAUAACCCGGCGAAAGCCGGGCUAAUGCCGCAUAAGAUCUUCGGAUGAAAGCGGGGGAUCGUAAGACCUCGCGCUGAUAGAUGAGCCCAUGCCGGAUUAGCUAGUUGGUGAGGUAACGGCUCACCAAGGCGACGAUCCGUAGCUGGUCUGAGAGGACGGCCAGCCACACUGGGACUGAGACACGGCCCAGACUCCUACGGGAGGCAGCAGUGGGGAAUAUUGGACAAUGGGGGAAACCCUGAUCCAGCGACGCCGCGUGUGUGAAGAAGGCCUGCGGG
rnacentral:rRNA from 1 species